rnacentral:rRNA from 1 species
ACUGGGAUAACUCCGGGAAACCGGGGCUAAUACCGGAUAACAUUUUGAACCGGAUGGUUCGAAAUUGAAAGGCGGCUUCGGCUGUCACUUAUGGAUGGACCCGCGUCGCAUUAGCUAGGUGGGGGAGGGAACGGCUCCCCCAGGGAACGAUGCGUAGCCGACCUGAGAGGGUGAUCGGCCACACUGGGACUGAAACACGGCCCAGACUCCCUACGGGGAGGCAGCAGUAGGGAACUUUCCGCAAUGGACGAAAGUCUGACGGAACAACGCCGCGUGAGUGAUGAAGGCUUUCGGGUCGUAAAACUCUGUUGUUAGGGAAAAAACAAGUGCUAGUUGAAUAAGCUGGCACCUUGACGGUACCUAACCAGAAAGCCACGGCUAACUACGUGCCAGCAGCCGCGGUAAUACGUAGGUGGCAAGCGUUAUCCGGAAUUAUUGGGGCGUAAAGCGCGCGCAGGUGGUUUCUUAAGUCUGAUGUGAAAGCCCACGGCUCAACCGUGGAGGGUCAUUGGAAACUGGGAGACUUGAGUGCAGAAGAAGAAAGUGGAUUUCCAUGUGUAG